AGGCUAGCUGGCCUUUGAGCUUACAGGCAGGCAGUUCUGUGUCUGCCUUCCAUCUUGCCACAGGAGUGCUGGGGCUACACAUGUGUGCUACUGAAUCUGCUAAAAACAAGCCAAGCAUCGGUGGCAAAGCGCUUGGGAGGCAGAAGCAGGCAGAUCUCUGAGUUCAAGGUCAUCUUCUCUACAAAAGGCCGUGAGCUGAACACCCCUGUUCUGCUAAGUGCUCCCACCAUGAUGGCCUGUGCUGCUACAGGCCCAAAGCAACGAGGCCAGAUGAGACUGUGAGCCAGGACAAGCCCUUCCUCCUAACACAUUUACCCCCGGUGUGGAAGGCCAGCUCUGGGGCUGCCACUUCCUCGGAAACAUGGUGGCGUGGCUGUGGAAGGUGCUGGUGGGCGUUGGUCUCUCCGCCCUCGCCCAUGCUGCCUUUUCGGCUGCACAGCAUCGUUCUCACAUGAGGCUGGCAGAAAUGAAGUAUGAGCCGCUGCCGACCGAUAUAGUUCUUCAGACACUUUUGGCCUUUGCCCUUACCGGCGUAGUUCAUACUGCAGGGGACUUUAGAGACCGGGAUGCCACUUCAGAACUAAAGAAUGUGACAUUUGACACCUUAAGGAAUCGCCCGUCUUUUUAUGUGUUUCAACAUUCUGGUUCCAGUCUUCUCCAGCCUUCGGAUACAACUCGUUCUUCAAACCUCAACGUGCCAUCUUCCGAUGACAUACGGUUGAAGUUUUGAAAUCGCAAAUCAUCACUGCACCGUUCAGCUUUUUUUUUUUUACAAAUUAAGUAGCAGAAUUAAGUACUGGGAUUUGGGCUGUAAAACACCCCCUACACAUCAGUAUUUGUACUGAUAUUUCAGACUUAAUUUAAAAAAAAUCUAUAAUUAAAAAACAAAAGAAAAGGUAUUUAUGUCAGGGACCCUCCUGCAGCUGUAGAAAGCUCAUUAACUGUGGGUUUGAUUCUGGGUGAGGCAAACACUGGAAUCUCAGCCCAAGUAAAACAGACACUGCAGGUGGACCCCAUCCCGUCCGUCCGUCAAGGGGCUGAAUGGAACAUGAAAGCCUCAGUAAGGAAGACGUGCACUUUUGCAUGCUUGAACUGAGACAUCGACCUCUCCCUGGCUCUGUCGCCUAAACCCAAACGUGAGCUCUUCGUGCAUUCUGAGCCUUUGAAACUGAGCUUGCAUGUGGGCUCUCCUGGGCUCUGCUCACUGACUACAGUCCUGAAGGAACUUGAAGAAGGUUUUCACAAUGUGUGAUUUGAUUCUUCAUUAAGAGGAAUGUCUCUUCACCACAGGUUCCUUCAGGCGCUCAGACUGAUGAUCUGAAGGCCGCUGUGAGCUAUAAGCUCAAAGGUGGUGAUGAUUUUCCAUGCUGGGUGAAGAGGGGCAAGGCUAGCAUUCCCAGAACAGUGCACAUGAGAGGUGGAGGGAGCCUUGCCCCUGCCAAUCUAACUACCCCUGUGGCCAGUUCCACAUGUCGCUUGCUGUGGCUGAUUAUAUGCCCACUUCUCUUGCUGUGGAUCCAUAUGAGAUUCUGGCAUUUGCAAAGGUAUUAAGUUUGUCAGAGGACAAGAACCAAGGAGGGGGAUGUGUUUAUGUAAAACGGUCCCCUGGUAUCUACAGAGGAUUGACUCUACAACCAUGCACAGAAACCAAAAAUCCUCGGAUGCUCAAGUAGCUUUUAGAAAAUGACAUGGUAUUUCCAUAGAAACUAUGCCCACCCUCCAUAUACUUCCCGUCAUCUCUAGAUUACGCAUGACACCUAGUACCAUGUAAAUCCUGUGUAAAGAGAUGCUGUACUGCAUUGUUUGGGGAGUAAUGAUAAGAAGAUGCUUGCAUAUGUUUGCUACAGAUGGAAUUUCCCCCAGAUAUCUUUGGUUAGCAGUUGGCUGAGUCUGUCUGGUUUGUUUACUUGUCCUUAUGGUCUACUUUUACAAGAAUGUCGUCUCCCUGAGGUGAUUGUGUUUGUCUUGGUUCCUUGUGGUGUCCUUCUUUCCUGUCAUAGUGCUUGAUGUGUCCUUGCUUGUGAGUUAUCGGGGAAGGGGCAGAGGUGUGUGUGUGUGACAGACAGACAGACAGACAGACAGACAGACAGAGAACAUAGAUACACACAUAGACACACACCAGAAAGAGGGAGGAAAAGAGAGGCAGUCAGACCUGGAACUUGAUAUGGAACUUGAUAUAUAUAGCAGACUGGCCUUGUACUCACAGACAUCUGCUUGCCUCUGUCUCAAGUACUGGGAUUAAUGAUGUACACCACCAUACUUGUGUUUUUUUC
rnacentral:lncRNA from 1 species